GACGUAGGGCGCGAGCGUUGUCCGGAUUUAUUGGGCGUAAAGAGCUCGUAGGCGGCUUGUCGCGUCGACUGUGAAAUCCCGCGGCUCAACCGCGGGUCUGCAGUCGAUACGGGGUCAGGCGUAGAGUUUCGGGUAGGGGGAGACUGGAAUUCCUGGUGUAGCGGUGAAAUGCGCAGAUAUCAGGAGGAACACCGGUGGCGAAAGGCGGGUCCCUGGAAAACUCCGUGACACUGA
rnacentral:rRNA from 1 species